CUUUGUGGUCUGGGCUGUUUGUAUAGUUAAUUGUGCCUUCCAUGUACAUGAAAUCAAUUCAUUUAAUUGGAUAUUGUGUUUGGCAGAAGGUGGUACCUACACAUGAUAAUGUUGCUGCUCGUUUCUUUGUUAACACGAGUUUAAAACAAAGGAUGGAUAACUUCCUUUUCUAAUGCCCAGGGUUUUUCAUUGAUUUUCCUGAUUGGUGCUCCCUUGCUUCUAGGUUGGGUACACCCCAGACUGGAUCUUUCUGCUGAGGGGUGUAAUGAAGAUCAGUCCGGAACAGGGCCUGCAGUUUUCUCGAAUGCUAGUGCAGGACGAGGAGCCGCUGGCCAACAUUAGCCAGAUUGUGGACAUUUUCAUGGAAAACAGUUUAAUUCAGCAGUGUACUUCCUUCUUAUUGGAUGCCUUGAAGAAUAAUCGCCCAGCUGAGGGACUCCUGCAGACAUGGCUGUUGGAGAUGAACCUUGUUCAUGC
rnacentral:sRNA from 1 species